rnacentral:rRNA from 1 species
CCUACGGGGGGCAGCAGUGGGGAAUAUUGCACAAUGGGCGCAAGCCUGAUGCAGCGACGCCGCGUGAGGGAUGACGGCCUUCGGGUUGUAAACCUCUUUCAGCAGGGACGAAGCGCAAGUGACGGUACCUGCAGAAGAAGCACCGGCCAACUACGUGCCAGCAGCCGCGGUAAUACGUAGGGUGCAAGCGUUGUCCGGAAUUACUGGGCGUAAAGAGCUCGUAGGCGGUUUGUCGCGUCGUCUGUGAAAACCAGCAGCUCAACUGUUGGCUUGCAGGCGAUACGGGCAGACUUGAGUAUUUCAGGGGAGACUGGAAUUCCUGGUGUAGCGGUGAAAUGCGCAGAUAUCAGGAGGAACACCGGUGGCGAAGGCGGGUCUCUGGGAAAUAACUGACGCUGAGGAGCGAAAGCGUGGGUAGCGAACAGGAUUAGA